rnacentral:rRNA from 1 species
GAUGAACGCAGCGGCAGGCCUAACACAUGCAAGUCAGGGGUAACAUAGGAAAGCUUGCUUUUCUGAUGACGACCGGCGCACGGGUGCGUAACGCGUAUACAACCUACCUUUUAGCGGGGAAUAGCCCAGGGAAACUUGGAUUAAUGCCCCAUAGUAUAUAGACUUCUCCUGAAGUUUAUAUUAAACAUUUAUGGCUAUUAGAUGGGUAUGCGUCCUAUUAGUUAGUUGGUAAGGUAACGGCUUACCAAGGCAGCGAUAGGUAGGGGUCCUGAGAGGGAGAUCCCCACACUGGUACUGAGACACGGACCAGACUCCUACGGGAGGCAGCAGUGAGGAAUAUUGGACAAUGGGCGAGAGCCUGAUCCAGCCAUGCCGCGUGCAGGAAGACUGCCCUAUGGGUUGUAAACUGCUUUUACAGAGGAAGAACCACCCCCACGUGUGGGGGUUUGACGGUACUCUGCGAAUAAGGAUCGGCUAACUCCGUG